rnacentral:rRNA from 1 species
UUGAAAGGGAAACGAUUGAAGUCAGUCGUACCUAUGGGUAAUCAGCCUUUUGGGUGUGAUUUUGUGGAGCGUGAGGAGUUAAACGCCUUCAUGCCUGCAUAUUCGUGCACUUUGGGUGUACUUGCCCGUGUGUGAGUUAACAUCAAUUUUGGUGGUCAUAAAUGGCUGGAGGAAUGUAGCUUCGAUCUUGUAUUGAAGUGUUAUAGCCUUCGGUAGAUGUGACGAUCGGGAUUGAGGAUUGCAACGGAUACCCUUCGGGGCUACCUGUCUGAUCUCUGAUUGUUGCUCUGGUACCGAAAGCUUGCUUACGGUUAUCAAAGUCGAUGGUCAAUAGGUUAGAACGGGUUAAAUUCGUUAAGGAUGUUGACGUA